rnacentral:rRNA from 1 species
CGCGUGAGUGAAGAAGGUUUUCGGAUCGUAAAACUCUGUUGUUAGAGAAGAAUGUUGAUUAGAGUGGAAAAUUAAUCAAGUGACGGUAUCUAACCAGAAAGGGACGGCUAACUACGUGCCAGCAGCCGCGGUAAUACGUAGGUCCCGAGCGUUGUCCGGAUUUAUUGGGCGUAAAGCGAGCGCAGGUGGUUUAAUAAGUCUGAUGUAAAAGGCAGUGGCUCAACCAUUGUGUGCAUUGGAAACUGUUAGACUUGAGUGCAGUAGAGGAGAGUGGAAUUCCAUGUGUAGCGGUGAAAUGCGUAGAUAUAUGGAGGAACACCGGUGGCGAAAGCGGCUCUCUGGACUGUCACUGACACUGAGGCUCGAAAGCGUGGGUAGCAAACAGGAUUAGAUACCCUGGUAGUCCACGCCGUAAACGAUGAGUGCUAGUUGUUUGGGGCUAUCCAGCCCUAAGUGACGCAGCAAACGCAUUAAGCACUCCGCCUGGGGAGUACGACCGCA